rnacentral:misc_RNA from 1 species
GUCAUUUUUCUCUUGUUUUGCUGGCGCUAAAAUUGAGGAAAAGGCAACAGAGAAGAGAAAACACAAUUACAGUGUAUAUAUUUAUUUUUUAACUGCAAUGACAUAGUUGUAUUUUGUGUCCUGUGGUUCAAUUUGUUUUCCUUUGAUUCAUUUGAUUGUUAGGCAUCUUUCUCUUUUGAAGUUUUUGAAGGGAAGAAAAGAAAGGACAUGACUAUUGAAUUUUGGACCUUUUUUUUUCAUUUGCAAGUAAACUGUAGAAAGGGGAAAUGGGAUUACUAAAUUUUUGUGUUUGAUAGCUUUGAUUUUCUUAUUACUCUUAAAAAUCUUUGGUUUGAAUAAAUUUUUGUGAUUUCCGAAGUUUUGCAUCUGGGUUAUAGAAAAGUUGAAAACCUUCACUAUUCGAAGGCGUUAUCUUCUCAAACUUCUGUUUUUCUGGGCAACCAGAGACUUAACAUGAGCAAAAAGAAUUCACAUACGGCAUUAGGCUUAUUCAGUUCUUCUAUAACUAGGAGAUUUCCUUGACUGAUUUUCUUUUCUCUAGCCAGUAACUUCUCCUAAUUUUUCUCAGAUACUAGAGCCUGUAAGUUCUAUGACAAAGGUUAUGGGAUUUUUAUGUACUGCAGUUUCCUUUGUUUCUCUUUUUUCCUUCCUUCUUCCAGGGUUGGGUUUUGGAUGUUUACUUCCUGACGUAAUAUCUCAG